rnacentral:rRNA from 1 species
UACGGGGGGGGCAAGCGUUGUUCGGAAUUACUGGGCGUAAAGGGCUCGUAGGCGGCCAACUAAGUCAGACGUGAAAUCCCUCGGCUUAACCGGGGAACUGCGUCUGAUACUGGAUGGCUAGAGAUUGGGAGAGGGAUGCGGAAUUCCAGGUGUAGCGGUGAAAUGCGUAGAUAUCAGGAGGAACACCCGUGGCGAAAGCGGCUCUCUGGGACGGUACUGACGCUGAGACGCGAAAGCGUGGGGAGCAAACAGG